GCAAACUAAAUUUUCCAUUGGCAUUUUUGAUGAAUUGUUAUGCGAAAGCUGUAAAGAUGCCAUGGCAGUUAUUGGAUGUCAAGACUGCAUUUCACAUAGAUAUGUCUGUGGGGAUUGUGAUGAGGAGAACCAUAAGAACCAUCCAUUUCAUGAUCGAGAUGCAAUUUUGAAUGGUUUUCAUGAACCUAUUCCUCCAACAGCCUCAAUUAACAGCAAACUGGAAUGGAUUACUGUUGAACGGUCCCUUCCAUUUGGUGAUGUUAUUUGUCCCACAUGCCUAUUUCCUUGCAAUAUUUUAUAUGAUGAGAAGGGUAUGGGUUGCAUUGCUGUAACAUUGAAAGAAGAUUGUUCCUGGAAUUUCUCAAAAUAGUUUUGUGAAAUCACUAGAAAUGUUUUCGAUACAAAAAGGGCGGAUGGGAACAAUUAACAGCAAAACAUUUGGUAGCU
rnacentral:misc_RNA from 1 species